UUAAGCGACUAAGCGUACACGGUGGAUGCCCUGGCAGUCAGAGGCGAUGAAGGACGUGCUAAUCUGCGAUAAGCGUCGGUAAGGUGAUAUGAACCGUUAUAACCGGCGAUUUCCGAAUGGGGAAACCCAGUGUGAUUCGUCACACUAUCAUUAACUGAAUCCAUAGGUUAAUGAGGCGAACCGGGGGAACUGAAACAUCUAAGUACCCCGAGGAAAAGAAAUCAACCGAGAUUCCCCCAGUAGCGGCGAGCGAACGGGGAGCAGCCCAGAGCCUGAAUCAGUGUGUGUGUUAGUGGAAGCGUCUGGAAAGGCGUGCGAUACAGGGUGACAGCCCCGUACACAAAAAUGCACAUACUGUGAGCUCGAUGAGUAGGGCGGGACACGUGGUAUCCUGUCUGAAUAUGGGGGGACCAUCCUCCAAGGCUAAAUACUCCUGACUGACCGAUAGUGAACCAGUACCGUGAGGGAAAGGCGAAAAGAACCCCGGCGAGGGGAGUGAAAAAGAACCUGAAACCGUGUACGUACAAGCAGUGGGAGCACGCUUAGGCGUGUGACUGCGUACCUUUUGUAUAAUGGGUCAGCGACUUAUAUUCUGUAGCAAGGUUAACCGAAUAGGGGAGCCGAAGGGAAACCGAGUCUUAACUGGGCGUUAAGUUGCAGGGUAUAGACCCGAAACCCGGUGAUCUAGCCAUGGGCAGGUUGAAGGUUGGGUAACACUAACUGGAGGACCGAACCGACUAAUGUUGAAAAAUUAGCGGAUGACUUGUGGCUGGGGGUGAAAGGCCAAUCAAACCGGGAGAUAGCUGGUUCUCCCCGAAAGCUAUUUAGGUAGCGCCUCGUGAAUUCAUCUCCGGGGGUAGAGCACUGUUUCGGCAAGGGGGUCAUCCCGACUUACCAACCCGAUGCAAACUGCGAAUACCGGAGAAUGUUAUCACGGGAGACACACGGCGGGUGCUAACGUCCGUCGUGAAGAGGGAAACAACCCAGACCGCCAGCUAAGGUCCCAAAGUCAUGGUUAAGUGGGAAACGAUGUGGGAAGGCCCAGACAGCCAGGAUGUUGGCUUAGAAGCAGCCAUCAUUUAAAGAAAGCGUAAUAGCUCACUGGUCGAGUCGGCCUGCGCGGAAGAUGUAACGGGGCUAAACCAUGCACCGAAGCCGCGGCAGCGACGCUUAUGCGUUGUUGGGUAGGGGAGCGUUCUGUAAGCCUGUGAAGGUGUGCUGUGAGGUAUGCUGGAGGUAUCAGAAGUGCGAAUGCUGACAUAAGUAACGAUAAAGCGGGUGAAAAGCCCGCUCGCCGGAAGACCAAGGGUUCCUGUCCAACGUUAAUCGGGGCAGGGUGAGUCGACCCCUAAGGCGAGGCCGAAAGGCGUAGUCGAUGGGAAACAGGUUAAUAUUCCUGUACUUGGUGUUACUGCGAAGGGGGGACGGAGAAGGCUAUGUUGGCCGGGCGACGGUUGUCCCGGUUUAAGCGUGUAGGCUGGUUUUCCAGGCAAAUCCGGAAAAUCAAGGCCGAGGCGUGAUGACGAGGCACUACGGUGCUGAAGCAACAAAUGCCCUGCUUCCAGGAAAAGCCUCUAAGCAUCAGGUAACAUCAAAUCGUACCCCAAACCGACACAGGUGGUCAGGUAGAGAAUACCAAGGCGCUUGAGAGAACUCGGGUGAAGGAACUAGGCAAAAUGGUGCCGUAACUUCGGGAGAAGGCACGCUGAUACGUAGGUGAAGCGACUUGCUCGUGGAGCUGAAAUCAGUCGAAGAUACCAGCUGGCUGCAACUGUUUAUUAAAAACACAGCACUGUGCAAACACGAAAGUGGACGUAUACGGUGUGACGCCUGCCCGGUGCCGGAAGGUUAAUUGAUGGGGUUAGCGCAAGCGAAGCUCUUGAUCGAAGCCCCGGUAAACGGCGGCCGUAACUAUAACGGUCCUAAGGUAGCGAAAUUCCUUGUCGGGUAAGUUCCGACCUGCACGAAUGGCGUAAUGAUGGCCAGGCUGUCUCCACCCGAGACUCAGUGAAAUUGAACUCGCUGUGAAGAUGCAGUGUACCCGCGGCAAGACGGAAAGACCCCGUGAACCUUUACUAUAGCUUGACACUGAACAUUGAGCCUUGAUGUGUAGGAUAGGUGGGAGGCUUUGAAGUGUGGACGCCAGUCUGCAUGGAGCCGACCUUGAAAUACCACCCUUUAAUGUUUGAUGUUCUAACGUGGACCCGUGAUCCGGGUUUCGGACAGUGUCUGGUGGGUAGUUUGACUGGGGCGGUCUCCUCCUAAAGAGUAACGGAGGAGCACGAAGGUUGGCUAAUCCUGGUCGGACAUCAGGAGGUUAGUGCAAUGGCAUAAGCCAGCUUGACUGCGAGCGUGACGGCGCGAGCAGGUGCGAAAGCAGGUCAUAGUGAUCCGGUGGUUCUGAAUGGAAGGGCCAUCGCUCAACGGAUAAAAGGUACUCCGGGGAUAACAGGCUGAUACCGCCCAAGAGUUCAUAUCGACGGCGGUGUUUGGCACCUCGAUGUCGGCUCAUCACAUCCUGGGGCUGAAGUAGGUCCCAAGGGUAUGGCUGUUCGCCAUUUAAAGUGGUACGCGAGCUGGGUUUAGAACGUCGUGAGACAGUUCGGUCCCUAUCUGCCGUGGGCGCUGGAGAACUGAGGGGGGCUGCUCCUAGUACGAGAGGACCGGAGUGGACGCAUCACUGGUGUUCGGGUUGUCAUGCCAAUGGCACUGCCCGGUAGCUAAAUGCGGAAGAGAUAAGUGCUGAAAGCAUCUAAGCACGAAACUUGCCCCGAGAUGAGUUCUCCCUGACCCUUUAAGGGUCCUGAAGGAACGUUGAAGACGACGACGUUGAUAGGCCGGGUGUGUAAGCGCAGCGAUGCGUUGAGCUAACCGGUACUAAUGAACCGUGAGGCUUAACCUU
rnacentral:rRNA from 1 species